rnacentral:rRNA from 1 species
UACAGAGGGGGCGAGCGUUGUUCGGAAUUACUGGGCGUAAAGGGCGCGUAGGCGGCCUGUUAAGUCGAACGUGAAAUCCCCGGGCUCAACCCGGGAACUGCGUCCGAUACUGGGAGGCUUGAAUCCGGGAGAGGGAUGUGGAAUUCCAGGUGUAGCGGUGAAAUGCGUAGAUAUCUGGAGGAACACCGGUGGCGAAGGCGGCAUCCUGGACCGGUAUUGACGCUGAGGCGCGAAAGCUAGGGGAGCAAACAGG